rnacentral:rRNA from 1 species
CCAAUAGCGUAUAUUAAAGCUGUUGCGGUUAAAAAGCUCGUAGUUGGAUUUCUGUCAAGGACAACUGGUCCGCCCUCCGGGUGAGCACAUAGUUUGGUCUUGGCAUCUUGCUGGAAGCUGUUGCUGCGCUUGGUUGUGUGGUGCAGCUUUCAGCACUUUCACUUUGAGGAAAUUGGAGUGUUUCAAGCAGGCACAUGCCUUUGGACACAGUAGCAUGGAAUAAUUAGAUUGGGCUUUUGCUCCAACUUGUUGGUUCCUGGAGCUGAGGUGAGAAUCAAUGGGGAUUGUUGGGGGCAUCCGAAUUUAGCCGUCAGAGGUGAAAUUCUUGGAUCUGCUAAAGACGGACAACUGCGAAAGCGUUUGCCCAGGAUGUUUUCAUUGA